UCCUGUCGUACUGCAGACCCUUCAACCAGAACUUCUGGAAUGAGAGGAGCUGGAUCCCGCACUGGACAAUGUGCUGGUGAAGAACAACGUCAAUCAUAACGAGUGUCAGAUCCUCAUCAAAGAGGGUGCUGCGUUAGACCUGAAGGCGUGCCCUUCCAAGCUGUUCCGUUGGAUCCUGGAUCUGACCUGGCUCUACUGAGAUCAUGAACCAGGUUUCCUGACAGCCAUGAGGCAGGAGAUAACCAGGGCUGGGAUCUGGACAGUCACCCUGCAUGAGGUGCUGAAGCAGAGCAAGGAGAUUACUGCCUCUCCUACUGGAAGUAGCCUCAUGCAAAAUAGUGUCAUUAACAACACUUGUACUAGAUACAGCUUUCCCAUUGUAACUCUCAAUGCCAUCCCUCAUAUUCUUAUCGCUGUCUCUCAGGAGGGGGUCUACGUCGUGUUCCUGGAUGGGGCCGGCUGGGACCGAAGAAACUGCCAUCUCAUGUUCACCAUCAACUCCACCACCCCCAAGUUCAACAUCUGCAAGCCCAGGCACACAGACCUCACAUGGGUGGUGAUG